AGAGUUUGAUCAUGGCUCAGGAUGAACGCUGGCGGCGUGCCUAACACAUGCAAGUCGAACGAAGCAUACGGACCGGAGAUUCGUCGAAGGACUGUAUGACUUAGUGGCGGACGGGUGAGUAAUGUAUGAGCAACCUGCCUUUCAGAGGGGGACAACAGUUGGAAACGACUGCUAAUACCGCGUAACGUAUCGUGAGGGCAUCCUCGUGAUACCAAAGGAGCAAUCCGCUGAAAGAUGGGCUCAUAUCUGAUUAGCUUGUUGGCGGGGUAACGGCCCACCAAGGCGACGAUCAGUAGCCGGACUGAGAGGUUGAACGGCCACAUUGGGACUGAGAUACGGCCCAGACUCCUACGGGAGGCAGCAGUGGGGAAUAUUGGGCAAUGGGCGAAAGCCUGAACCCCAGCAACGCCGCGUGAAGGAAGAAGGUCUUCGGAUUGUAAACUUCUUUUAUGAGGGACGAAGGACGUGACGGUACCUCAUGAAUAAGCCACGGCUAACUACGUGCCAGCCGCUGC
rnacentral:rRNA from 1 species